CCUACGGGUGGCAGCAGUGAGGAAUAUUGGUCAAUGGCCGGAAGGCUGAACCAGCCAAGUCGCGUGAGGGAAUAAGGCCCUAUGGGUCGUAAACCUCUUUUGUCAGGGAGCAAAGGCGUCCACGUGUGGACGAGAGGAGAGUACCUGAAGAAAAAGCAUCGGCUAACUCCGUGCCAGCAGCCGCGGUAAUACGGAGGAUGCGAGCGUUAUCCGGAUUUAUUGGGUUUAAAGGGAGCGUAGAUGGGUUGUUAAGUCAGUUGGGAAAGUUUGCGGCUCAACCGUAAAAUUGCAAUUGAUACUGGCAGCCUUGAGUACAGUUGAGGUAGGCGGAAUUCGUGGUGUAGCGGUGAAAUGCUUAGAUAUCACGAAGAACUCCGAUUGCGAAGGCAGCCUACUAAACUGCCACUGACAUUGAUGCUCGAAAGUGUGGGUAUCAAACAGGAUUAGAUACCCUUGUAGUC
rnacentral:rRNA from 1 species